UUUUUUUUUUUUUUUUUUUGGUUUUUGGCUUAAUUACAAUUAGAUUGGUUGAUAUCAUCAUUGAUUCAUUACCAUUCAUGCAAUCGUCUUAGAGGCUGUCUAAAUUUGUUAGGAAUGUAAGAGUCUUGCCCAUUUUUAACUUGCUAUAGCUAGCUAUUCUUGCUGUUCAUAAUUCUGAAGUUCCACAUUUAUUAUUUCUUGGUUUUGAAUUUCUAUAUAGUAAUCCUUUCACCCAUAUCGUUCACUUUUAUAAUUUUUUUCUACUAUUUUCUUUUUUUGUCCAGAAACACAGGAAGCAUAUAAAUAAAGCAAGAGAAGUAUUGGUUAGAAAUCCACCUAUUUUUGAACCCAACGUGAGUAGAUAUCCAUCCCUGAGUGAGAGAAAAAAACCAUCUUUCUUUGAAUCCAAUAUGACUAGAUAUCUAACCCCUCAACCUACAACCAUGAGGACGAGAAAAAUACCUAGUAUUUUCGACACCCUGAUGGGAACAAAUCCAACUGAACAUAGUCAAAGCCCCUAUACUCCUAGUUUUGCUCCUUCUCAAUUUACACACCCAAAAACUUACCUUAGUGAGGGCACAGCUUAUAACCAAAUGGACGCACUCAAUCAGCUGCUUGCUAAUCCCAGUAACAACCCGCCAAUGACCAGCAAUCAUCAAAAUUCAUAUGCAAAUUUUGGAAAUCAAGAAUCUUCCCAAUUGAACCAUGUUCAGUACUCAGCUGAUCAGGGCAAAGGAAAACAAGUUUUGUCUUCCUUUGGAGGAUAUAAUGACAAUCAUGUUGCUCCAGCUGAUGAUUUAUGCAAGACCAACGUGGAUGCUCUGAUUGAAGCAAUUAAAAAGGAAUUGGCAGAUGCUCUUGGAGCUGAUGCCAAUUUGCGUCAAGAUAUGAAGUUCUUGGCCAGGUACAAUAAUGUUGUUCCUCAACAAAGCUCACACCAAACACCAUCCGAGGUGUUUUCUGCAGCUUGUAAAGACUUAUUGGCACCAGCAGAGACAGAUUUCGACAUUGGGGAACAGAUGACUUACACUUAUAAAGAUCUUGCAAUGAUUUUGAAUGACUUGAAUGCUGGUAGUGAAGGCAUUUCACGGUCAAGCUCAGACCAAGAACCGCCCGUGGAGUUUUCUACAGCUUGUGAAGACUUGGCACCAGCAGAGACAGAUUUCGACAUUGGGGAACAGAUGACUUACCGUUAUGAAGAUGUUGCAAUGAUUUUGGAUGACUCGAGUGUUGGUAAUGGAAACAAAACAGGAUCAAGCUCAGAGUCCCCAGACCCGCCAUUGCCAGACAAUGUUGCUGAUGACGAUCAUGAUUUCACUGAACGGCUCAACAUAGAAGAUUUUUCUGAGCUUUUUGAAAUCUUUCCAGACAUUCAAGAUGGAGCUCCUUAGUUGGGCUUGCUUCUGAAUUAAACGAGAAGAAUAGCUGGCUAUCUUUUAGUUUGUUUUUAAGACAUUAGAAGAAGUCUAAGUUCUAAACAUUGAGCAAAAUAUAGAAAUGGACCUUUAUCCAAUGGAGAGUUGCAUUGAAGUAUGGUUUAUAAUGAUUUAUAGGAAAGAUGCCAUCUUUUGUUCGAAAAGUAUAGGAAAUGACGCAGAACACCUUCUCAAAAACAAUAUCUAAAAGGUGAAAAAAAUAAGAUACUACUGGUAUACCGUUCGUGUGUGCCUUUUGUUUGAUCUACCAGACCAACAACAAAAACAUCGGAAUGAAAUUGAUGACAACAACAGUCAUUGCAACGGUUUUCACGAUUUUGAGUGCUAGGCAUACGUCUGAAAAUGUUAACAAGAAAAAGAUACAUGCGAAGCUUAUUGCUUGGACCUUUGUUCGUUUAAGAUGAGAUGUGCUCAAUGCCCAAAAUGAGAAAAUUCUACGACACCUUAGAUUACAAUUUAAUGAUACCAAUCUUGGUCGAAGUAAGAAUAAAGUUGCAAUAAUCAAGAAAAGGAACUUCCUAUAUGAUAUUAUACCUUUCAUGUACAGGAACUAGUUAUACAUCCAUGGCCUAUUUUAGUCGUCUAUAUUGGUUAUAGGGCCUUUAAACCAAUACCUAGCACUAAAGACCCAAGCAGUGACAGUAAGAAUAAAUAGGCCACCAACAGCAACUGGCGUAUAGUUGAGAGUUUGAUCGGUAACGGGAUAGGCAACGGGCAAGGAGAACAGCACAGAGAUGGUUGCAACCCACACCACAGCAAUCCAACCAACAAGGACCCCAAAACUUCCCAAAUUGAAAGGCCCUGGGGUGAAAGAUUUUCGUGCCAAAGUCACCCUAAAGAAGAUAGGUAGGGCAUAGGCAAUGUACAGUCCAAUAGUUGCUAUGGAUACCAUGGCCUGAAAUGCGACCAAGCUCCCAAGAGACUGCCCAAAAAAAAAAAAAUGUAGAGCGUGCGAUAUUCAGUUAAAGGAAUGAUGAAUAAAAACGAACAGUGGGUGCUCAUCUUAAUUGGUAAUAGCUAAAGUAAAUGCACAUAUGCAAGUAAACUCACACUGCAUUUUAAAGGUUCUUAAAAUUCAAUAGAAAGAGAAUUUGCACUUCAUUUUAAAGAUUCUUAAAAUCUGACGUGCACUCAAAGUCUUGUGGUUCCCCUGGUCUACAGGAAAAUGCAGAAAAGAGAGGUUCAUACCGUAAGUGCCAUGCAGAAUGCAAUAAAAGCUGAAAGCCAAACUGCAUUUAUGGGAACCUCUUGCUUGUUUACUUUGUGCCACAAGGAUGACAAAGGCAUAGCUCCAUCCCUUGAGAAUGCAUAGGCCAUCCUGAGAAUGUAUAUCAAUUUGACCGUUAAUGGAAAUCUUGCUACACAUGAAGAAACCAGCAGAAAAAAUUAAAAAGAAUGGUUACCUUGAAUUGCUAGUUAUUGAGCUCAUGCCGCAGAAAAAUAUGGCAACAGCAACAAUACACAAGCACACAAUUCCACCAGCUCCACUCCCAUAUCUACUUUUGAACACUUGGUAGAAAAUUUCAGCGAUGGCAUAACCACCAGCAUCAUUGUCCUUGCUCAAAAGAUUUGGGAUGUUCGUAACUGAAAAUGUGAUACCAAGUAUAUAACCCCAUCCAACAAUUAUAGAUAUCCCGAUGGAACUUAUUAUUCCCUUAGGGCCAUUCUUAUCUGCACUCUUGGUUUCCUCUGACUAGCAGCAGAAGUAAUAAUGUAAGAGAAAUUAUCUAACAAAAUUUGUUUGGUUAAGAAUAAGAUAAAUGACUUAAAAACUGGAGAACAAGCUCUCAAAAUGUGAGAUCUGAAUUUCUUGCAGAGCACAUAGCAGAUAAGCUAGAUGCCUAGAUGAUUAAUCGAAAAUGAAACCAAAUAUCUGGUAAUCAGUUUUGUAAUCUAAAGUACCUUUUAGCUGCUGGUUGCUCAAUUGUUCCAUUCUGAUAUGAAUGUUGUUCUUACAUCAGACAGUGCUAGUAUAUGAGCAUGACAGUACUUAAUCCUUGAGAUUCUUUAUCUCAUAGAUUUUAUUUAAGAAUGUGAUAGCAUAAUCAAACUCCAGAAAGGAUAAGGGCAAUACAUAGAGAUAGAUGUAAUUUUUAUUGUAUUUGCGUCAUCAAAGUCCCAACACAAAAAAUGAAUAAGCGCAAUAAAUUAGAGAUGAAACUUACCAUGUGGGCAGAUGCAUCAUACCCAGUCAGCGUAUACUGGCUCAUAAGAAGCCCGAGUAUAAAUAUGUACAAUUUACUGUUGACGCCUACCCCAUUUUCAGUGUUGAAAUGAGUAAACACAAACUUAGCACUGGCUCUUUCAGUUGCAACUGUAGGAAUCACAAUCAUGAGUAUAAAGACUCCUGAAACCAAAAGAGUAUCUUGUAAGACAAUCAGGUGAGAAUUGAAACGGACUUAUAGAACAGUUUUGUCGUCAGUCUACCUAGUACAUUCCAUGCAGCAGCAAGCUGUCCAAAGAAUGAUAACCACGAGAUAGGAAGACUGUUUAAGACAGCAUGUGAGAGCAAAAUUGCAGCAUGGAUGGCAAUAACUACAUACUUAGAGGCCUCAUAUCCCCCUCCAGAGGUUCCACCAGUACUCAGAAGGAUGAUCACCUGAAUCAGCUGUGCAAGUGAAAAAUCCACGCUUGUUGUAACUGCCCACUGGAAAGAGAAAUUUCUUUACUAGUUAAACAUAAUUGUGGUGUCACCAAGCAUGAAGAGGAUUGACAGAAAUAGAGUGAAGAAUCUUGAACUGCAGACUAAAAGUUUAAAUACCUGACCAACAAUGUUGAACCUGUAAAGCCAAAACAAGAAAAACAAAAAAUAAGUACUCAGCCUCUACCAAUGGAUUUAUAGCAAGACAUAGCUGGCGAUAGUUUAUCAAACAGAUUGCUGCCUAUAGAAACCAAACUCUACAUAGUAAGAGGGUGAUCCAGAUGAAGAUGGUCCAUUAUGCCACUACCCAAGAACUCAGAGAAAAUGGAGUACAAGAACUUCGUCUUGAUUCAUUCGAGCAAAAACUAAAUGACCAAUAUAAUAGGCUUCUCAGAACUAUAUAAGUUAACUACACAUCACCAGAAUCUCAUCCAUUUAUGGCAAAACACCAAACGUCCACAAAAGUCAGUAAUUCAUGAAAUUUCUUAUAAUAGUACUUUUUGCAAAGGUAGGACAGCAUCGUGUAUUUAAGUAAAAUUUACUUCAGUUACAGAAGAAAUGAAGUCCAAUAAUGGAACUAAAGCAAAAGGUGAGCUUAUAGAACUAACACCUUACAUGGGAAACAAUGUCUAGGUCCAAAUUUCAUCUGUUCCUAAAAUUGCUAAUCUUAUGGAAGAUAAAUUCUAACGUCUAACUUUCAAAGAACAAUACAAGACCAACGAAACAUAGGCAACUAAUUGGCGCUGACCUCAAAAAAAUUUUAAAAAAAUACCAACUGUUAUAAAUAGGUUGGGCUCCCUGAAUUGCAAAUUGAAAUAAAUGACAGCCACUGGUAGACCCCUAGCAAUUGAAACAGAGAAGAAUACCCUCAAUUAAAUGUCAUUAAUUAUUCAAACAAGCAAGAUUUUCAAUUACCAGCCAGUGAUCCAGGAUGCAAAGGGUGCCCAACUAGGGCCAGCAAGCUUAGCACUCCAAUAAUAGAGUCCUCCAGAAGUAGGAUAAGAAGAACAUAUCUCAGCCAUGGAUAAUCCCACAACCAUAGUAAAACAACCAGCAAUUAUCCAUCCAUACACCAAAGAAACAGGCCCACCAAAAUUCAACCCCGUAUUAUACAGUGUAGUCACACCAGUCAACACUGAUAUAAUUGAAAAUGAAAAUGCAAAAUUCGAAAAAACCCUGCACCAAAAAAUCCCAAAAAAAAAACACAAGAACCAAAACAAAAAAUAUCAAAUACCCACAUCAGAAAUCAGAUAAAAAACAAUAUUCCGAAUGAGUUAUGGAUUGAAUAAUUACGAGAGGUCUCGCUUGAGUUCUUGCUUGUAUCCUAGCUCAUGCAAGCGUGCAUGGCCUGAAUCAAUGGAUGAUGUGCCAUUGCUUUGUUGAACACGUUGUGGAAGCACUUCGCUCUUAUCUUCACGAUUCCACACCAUUUUUUUGAAAUUCAAGUGAUCAAAGAGAGAGAUGAGGGAGGUGUGUACUCUUAUUCAAGAUAUGAAACCUUGAAUUGUGCUUUAGUUAUCAAUACACACCCUUUUAUCUCUCUCUUUCUGUCCGAGUAGCUGAGAGUUUUCUUGAGAACUUCCAGCUACUGUUUGUUCAUGGAAAUGAUGAUGGAUUUAAUAUAGAUUCCGUGAGAGGAAUAUUCACUGAACCAUCAUCAAAACCGUGCUUUUUCCUCUGCGGACACUUUUCGGAAUCAAAACCGUGCUUAAUUAGUCUGUUGGGGGUAAUUAUUUUGGUGGAGGAAGCAAAUGUGAUGGUCAACCAAAGCUGUGGGAAAGUCAAAGAGACAACUGGGGUUAGUUGGGUUGCCUUUUCUUUAUUAAUUUAUUUUCUUGAUUUUGUGAUAUAUAUUUUUUUAUUUUUUCAGAUUUAUGGGAAAGAGAAAUAAAGGAAUCUCUUAUUGAGAUGAGCACUUUAAAAAAUUGGCUUUUGCUCAGCAUACCAAAGAUUAGGUAAUCGUACCAUCUCUUAGGCCAUCCUAAGGACAAUUGAUCGAUUUGUACAUUGCUUUUGACAGUGACUAAUUUGGGGUUGCGGUCCCGGGAUGCGAAGGAGGGGGGGGGGGGGAAGGGAUAUUUUAAUGACAAUAGAUAUUUUAUUGGGUUACGUUGAAUUUAAUUUUAUUUAUAAAAAUUAUAUUUAUAUAAAAUAAAAAAAGAUUAAAAAUAUAUUUACGAAGAAUGUCAUAAUUUUUUUGUCGAAGAAAACUACAAUCGAAGUAAGUUACCAUUUCUUUUGCAAUCGCUGACUUAAUUAUUCUAAACAAUUUGAAUUUUAAAAGCUUGAAAUGUUGAUGAGAUUAUACCAUUUCUCUUAUAUGAAUGACAACGGUACCGACGACAUAUUUUUCUUCUUGACAUGGUAAGAUUUUCAGGGGAAAAAAAAGGUUUUCUCACCUCAUUUUACUUCAUAAGAUCUAAACUAAAAUCUUAAAUUAUUUAAAUACAAAAGAAACGAGUCAAGAAGAAACAUGUGAACACCGUGUAGUCAUUUUACAUUACAGGUGUGUAGGACAGAAAACGAUGAAAUGGUAGGGAGCAAAUGUGGCAGCUUGAGAAGAAGAAAACAAAACAAAUAGCGAGAAGAACAAAAGGAGGAGAAAAGACAAAUUUGUGUAGCUCAUCCUAAAUGCUAAAUUUAUGUGACAAAAGAAGCAAGGAACAAAUAGAGUUCAUAUCAUAGUCAUUGUUAGUCUUUUAUUUUUUUUUUUGGUCGACAUGAUAACUUUUAAUUUAGACCUACUCCUACGUUACAACAAGGGAAAGGAUUGGAUUCCAAGGAACCGAUGAAAAAUUCAGAGGAGACUAAAUCGCUAUCGGAUCAGACGGAUGUCAUUGCACUCGCUGAUAAAUUUUUUCAGAAAAUCCUGCAGAAGAAUGCAAGUCAAGAAAUUUGAUCUCUUGAUCUACAUCCAAUGAGAGCUUUAAACCUCUUCUAGUGGCCAACUACUCUAUAAAUAGUUGGUACAGUCAUUGUAAGUCGAUUCUCUUCUUUUCAAUGUUCAAAACAAAGUUAAAAUUGUCGAAGACUUGAGAGCCGUUUAGGUUUUAUGGCCGGAACUGGGCAGCAGAGUGAUUUGCAUUACAAUUUUUGCAUGUGAACAAAUCAACUGAGAAUCUAAUAUUCAAAUGGAAAAAGAUGAAGAACCAAAGAAUGCGGCUACUGCAUCUCACGUGCGAAAAUGUGGCCUCCAAGAAAUCCAGUAAAUGGCUUGAUUGUGUUUGGAUAGGUAUUACUAUUGAGUAAAUCUUAAAUUCAAAUGAGUUGUCAAUAUAUUCACAGUGAUUGUGUAUACACUGUUAUUGUAUAAAUGAUUAAUUUAUUGUUAAUUUUUAAGAAAUUAUUUGCUUACAUCACAAAUAUAUUUUUUAAUACACAUUUUGAUCUUUUCAAUUACCUUUUAUUUUACAUAUAUCACAUCACGAAAAGUGUUAUAAUAAUUAUUCCAAAUAGUAUUUCAAAUUUGUCAUUUGUUGCAAUAAACUAGGUACUCCAGAAAAUAUUCCCAAAAAAAAUAAUAACAUAGAAUGAGCAAACGUGCAAGUAUUUUUUUGCUCAAAUUUCAUACAUAUAAAAUUAUCUUUAUGUUGUUAGUCAUGAAAAUAAAAUGGAAAGGGUUAAAUCCUAAAUAUGUUUUCUACCUUUCAUUUUUUCUUAAAGAAACGUUAAGAACCUAACAUCAUGCAUGUGGAUACUUACAAUUUCUUUUUUUUUUUAAUUAUCUUUUUGGAUUAAAUUCCAUUCUUUUGGAGCAAGGUGUUUCAAUAUUUUGACUAAGCUGAAAAGCAAAUAUAGAUUUACUAUUUUUUUUAUUCUUAUAAAAGUGCAAGAUAAUAUUAGUGCUAUUAUCUCAAAUCGCAAUCGGACCAAGGCAACCCAUCAUAUCCAAUGUUGUUGCUAACCAUUAUGGUCCGUAAACAGACUGAAAUAUUGCGAAAACAGCACCGACUAAUUUGAACCGAAAAAUGAUUGGAGAAUUGUCCAUUGACCCAGACCCAUACAAGAAAACAAUCCUUCUAAUUGGUAUUAUUGCAUCUAAAGUCUACAAACGCUGCAGUUUUACUUGAAUUAAUUGGCGAUUGCGUAACUAACCGAUUAGCUAGCUGAUUAUUUCAAGUUAUACACCAGCUCUUUUUUUUUUCUUCUUAUUUUGUCUUAUUAAUGGGGCUUGCUAUGGGUCAAGUAAUGUGGACAACAAAUCAUUUAUUUUGGGUAGAAAAAUUGUCAGAAUUCAGUCCGCUUCAAUUCUGAAAGCGAUCCUGCUCAAACAGUUUAUGAAGUUGAAUUUCUUUCUCUAAAUAUUUUAUCUAGACAAGGACGAAAGAAUGAAUCAAAUUACUUGAUAUUCGAAACGAACUUGGUCCUGUUAAAACUAGUUUGAACUUUAUUUUUCAACUAAUCAAACUAAACACGAAUAGUAUUUCGUGUUCGAUAAAAUUUGAAAGUAGACUAUGAACUCAGCUCAAUUAGCUUAAAGAUUGAAACUUGAAAAUUAAGUGAAAAAAACUCAAAACUAAUUAAUGCGAGAUCGGCUUGAUAAAAGGUUGUCGAGAGUUUGGCUCGGUUUCGAAGUUGUUAAAAUAAACAGAGAAAUUUGAACAAUGGAGUGUUCUACUUUAUUAGACUCAUUCACACUUCUAUCUAGCCAUAGUCCUAAAAAACUCAAAUUCUUCAUGGAAAUAAAUUUGGAGAGAAUUAAUUUCUUGUUAACAGCCAAAGUUCUCUUUCAAUUGAGGCUUAGGGUGGCAACGGGUGGAGUUGAGUUUGAACACUAAUCUAUUCGAACUCGAUCUUGAAGUAUAUUUGUUUGAGUUUGACAAACCUUCAAUUUCGAAACUCGAGCACGACUAGUGAGAAGUAUGAAGUGUCUGAGAUCAAGUUCAAAAAGUCACUUGCUCAAGUUCAAGUUACUCGAGUUCAAGUGAUAAAAAAUGUAAUUUGUUAUAAGAAAAUAGGUUCUGUUUAUGAGCUACUUGAUUUGUUUGCCACUGCUAAUAAAAUAGCUAUUGCUUUCAACACUUGGAUUCGAACUUUAGGUGAACUUUACCUAGGGCCCGAGGUUCAUGAAAAUCAAUUCGAAUAUGGGCCCAAUAGCAGCAGAUAUAUUCGUUGAGACACAAUGCAGAUUAUCAAUUAAGGACAAAGGUUUCAACAAUCUACACAGCGUCAAAAUGCAAAAAAUAUUUGUGUUAAUAUGAUUUUGCGGAAGCACAAAAAUAAGAAGACAAACAAUACUGAUGGUAGUUUGAUUACGUACCAGCCAGUGAGCCAAGAUGCGAAUGGGCUCCAUCCGUUACCACAGAGUAUAGCACUCCAAAAAUAUAGCCCAGCAGAAGUCGGGUAAGCAGAGCAGAUCUCAGCCAUUGACAGGCCCACAAUCAUCGUCAUUAAACUAACAAUAGGCCACCCGUAAACCAUAGCAAUGGGCCCACCAAACGACAGGCCCUGAUUGUAUAGUGUUGUUAUUCCCGUCAUGACUGAUAAUAUUGAAAAAGUGACCGAAAAAUUGGCCAGGAACCUUCAUACACCAAAAACACAAUAAUGAAAACGAAAAUUUACAAGUCAUUGAUCUUCAUAAAAUUUACUAAACCAGGUAGUUAGAACUGGCGUUUAUUUUCUUUUCUUUUGAAGUAGAAAAAUGUCGUUAAUGUAAAAAUCAUAAGACUUGUAGAAUUGACCCCAUAUAAAGUAACAGUAGUAUCUAAAAUAAACACUCAUUAGGUACACCGAAUAUUCACAUAUGUUCAGUGCCCUCCUAAAAUGUCCCUCCAAGAAUGCUGUGAGUGUGUUUGGAUAGGAUAUUAUUUGGGAUAAUUUUUUGAAAAAAAUACUAUAACAUUUUUUUAACGUGAUGUAUGUGAACUAAAAAGAUGGUUCAAGGUAUGUAUAUGAUAUAAGCAAAUAAAAUUAUACAAAGAAUAAAAUUCUCUCUCAAAAAACAAGGAAAUGUAAUUGUUUUUGGUCCAUUUGAUACUAAAUAGUACAAUAAAAAUAUCUAACAAAAGAUUACUCCCUGCCCCCCUGAAGUGGAGUCAAAUCAUAGAUUACUGAUUUAACGAAAGAAUUAAUGAAUUGGAAGACAAUAGCAUAAACAAAACUUGAAGGGUUGCCUUUUCUUUUGCAAAUUUCUUUUUCAACAACUGUUCAAAAUAGAUACCAUGUUUCCUAUGAAAUAAACAAGUUUUAGUGGACCAACGUGUCUUGUUUAUCUGAACCAUCCAAGGUGCUUCCCUUCUUUAUCACAAUUAACCAAGUAAACCUUUAGAUUCCACUAGCUAGAUUGUCAUGCAAUGUUGCAGUGAUGAAGUAAAUUAAGGUGGAUUUCAAGAACUUUGAAGCAGAAAUAUAUGCUGCUUACGAAAGGCCACGGCCGAGCUCUUGCUUGUAUCCCAGCUGCUUCAACCGCGUUGAAUCCUCAGAAAUACGAUCAAUACCAACGUUUUCAGCGUCAAAUUCACCAAGCGGAUAAUAGAGACCAGCUGCUUGAUUGCCAUUAUGCAAUCUUGAUUCAUCAGCAAAUUCCAUUCUGCAAAUAAAUCCCAAGUGUCAACACAAGCCCUCUUCAGCUAUCCUAUGGCAGAUGCCACUUCUGUUAUACUUCCGGAUAUCUAAGAGUCUAAAGCGUAGCAACCUAAUCUGAUUUGUUGGUUUCUUUUACUCUUUUAUGGUGUCUGAGAAGAAAACUAAAGGAGGUUGAAGAAGGGUGAGGAGUGAAGAGUUGUGGCAAAGCUAUAAAUUCAGAGUUGAGAUUUUUGCUUAUUUAUUAAGCAUGCAAUGAUUCGUGCACGCAAGAGGGGAAAUGAGGCAAUUAUAUGCGUAGAAAGGCUUGGGUGAUUACAUUUGCAUGAUGUGACAGCUGCCUAAAAAUUGACAACAUGGGACGAAGUUCUUGAAGCCCACAUGAAAAUAUCAAGCAAGUACUAGAUUUUGAUUGGGAUUCUGUUGAAUACUUUUCUGAUUGAGAAUAUUCAUCUGGCUAGUUAAGGCAAAUGUGUGACUUGGUGCAUGUGAUAUGCAGUAAAUUGAGAAGGAUUUUCGAAUUUGCUCGGACAAGAAAAGUUCAAGAAGAUGAGAAAAUAUAAGCAAUAUUAGUGUUUGAGACCAAGGGUUAAUUAAUGUGCCUAAAGGCCUUAAACUAGGCUACUAGAUGAUUUGAAGAAUUAAUAAUUGACGAUUCAAAAAUGAUUGACAAAUCCCAUUAAUAUAUAUGGAUUAUUCAGCAAAGGAAAGGAAAAUGAAAGGGAAAAAACAAAUUAUAUGGAUCUCCUAUACUGCCGAAUCGCGGAACGAGGAGCUAUUAGGCUGAAAUUGGGCAUUCUCGAUAUGGGCUCCGGUUCUCCCACAUUGAUUUUCAAUGGUCUAGCAUAUGCAGGUAUAUCAUGGUAACGGCAAAUAUUGACGUUGUUAGCUUACUGAAAAUGCAUAUCAAUCUAUCUCGUAAUGGAAAAUUUUACAUUUACACACAAAAAAUGUGCAUUUUGCAUUCGGUUAAAUUAUUGUGAAAUUACUACAUUACCUUUGUUGGCAUCGAGAAAUUUUGACCAUAUGACCUCAAAAUAAUCAAUCAAAACCAUCAAAUAUUUGUCUUUCUUGCAUGAAUCAAAUUAUUUUUAGUUAGAUCUUCAUAAAGGGAAGGUUAAUUAGGAAGAGUGUAUAGAUGUAAAGAAGAGUAAUAAUUGUUAAUGUGUCCGAAUUUUAGAAAGAAAAGGUUAAUUAGGAAAAGUGUAAAAUUGUAAGGAAGAGUAAUAAUUGUUAAUGUGCACAUAUAUAUGGUAGGUUAGAUGGAAUUUAGGUGUAUUAGCGAAGAUGUUGGUUAGAAAAAAACUAUGAAGAAAACCCUUCUUUUUAUAUGGGGUUUCAAUUAAUUGCGGUAUCAUCUCAAAAAUAUCUUAUUAGGUUAUUUUUUUGGUACUGGGAGAGAUACAUUUGAGUCUAAAUCAACGCAUUAUUGAAUAGAAUCCCCUAACUAACUAAAACAAAGCCAAACUCACUAAGGUUAAAAAAAAUCAUUAAGGUUUUUCCUUUAUUAUUUGAGUAGCUUUACUUAGAAUCUUUUCUCUCGAGGGCAUACAAGAGCCCUUCCUCUCUUCUUCCACUUAGGUUUUUAUUUUCUUUUCUUAGGUUUGUUAAACAAGUAACCUAUAGGCACAUAUUGGGACUUAAUUGUUACCUUUUUGAAAAGAUUAAGUUAAAUCAAGAAAGCAUCUAAAUGUAACAAGCACAAUAAAUGUAAAUUUGAAAUGUGUAAAUGGUAAUCACCAAAUUUAAGUGCACUAAUCAUCCAUCAGUGCCUAAUUUCUUUCUUUUUCAUUCCUUGUGCAAUUGAUAGCUUUUAUAUGGCAAUAUUAUUUCCAUAACUUGUGGUGCUACCCGUAAACUACCCUAACUUACACUUUAAAUAAGGGCAUCAAAGCAUUGAGAUUCACCUUUGCCUUCUCUGCAACACCUUUGCUUUCUUGCUAAUUUGACUCAACAAUGGGUAACUUGUUUUGCAAGAAGACAGGUGAAGGGAACGGGGACAAUGGUUGUUUGACGUGUUUUGGAGUGCAGCAGCCUAUGGAGACAAUUCGUGUUGAGAAAGAGCUUAGAAUGAAAUCCACGAUCACACACCGUUUUCCUGCGGGUUCCAACACCAGUUAUGGCCGUUUUCCCACGGGUUACAACAACAAUUAUGGUUCACAAAGUAGAUAUGUAAACACCUAAACUCGGACAACAUGGCUUGAUAAGUACUUUGGUCAGAUUAGUUGCUUUAACAGUCUAGUAUUGCGUGAGAAUUAUCUAUUCUUAAUUAUCACUAUGUUACUUGGUUUGUUAGGGAAGGAUUAAUAUUAAGGUUUAAUAGUUGUUUUACUUUUGUUCUUUGUCUCCUCAUAAGUCAUGGACUUAUAUUGUGUUGGCAAAGCCUUUUGACUAUGAAUAUUUGGGAUAUGGAUUAUUUUCUUAAAGUUGAUUAGCGAUCCUUGGAGUUAUAUUAUGCGAAUGGCUUGAUUCCCUUGAAGUUGAUAUUUUGUGUUAAAAAUCUGGUGAAUUGCUAGACUGCUUGGGAGGCUGAUCAUCCCUAAUCUUUAUUCUUGUUAGGGUGUUCUCUCUUUUUUUUUUUUUUUUUGGGUUCUUGUUUGAAUGAUAAAGAAGGUUAAUAAAAUUGUGUACAACACAACGUAAACACACACGUAGUAAGCAGACUUCGACAAGGCCAACUUUACAAAAAAAAAUUGAAUAAAAUGAAUCGCUCAAAUAUCAAGUCAGUUUAUUAGAUAUGACCGACCUUUGAUGCAGUAAUUGGUGACAAAGAAUUGGCAAAAUUUGAAUACGAAUUGGUUGGUAUUUUGCAACUCUUUUGGCUCCAUUCUUAACAUGGGGAAACCUCUUGGUGCGUGUCAUUGGACCAAUAUAUGCUUCAUGAAACUUUACUACCAACUUCAAAGGUGUUCUAAUGUUGGAAACCGAAUUGUGAACGUUCUUGAUUUCAAAUUCGUUUUUUUUACUUCUUUGGCUCCCCAGACGAGCAAUUUUCAGCUUCCUCUUCAUUUUAAUUGCAUCUUCGAGUCUUUGAUAUCUCUUUCUCCACAAAUACCUCUUUAAUCCAUCAAAGCAUCCCAAAGGAAGAAUAUCCACUUAGUGUUUUGGUUGAGAAAGAGAGAGAGACCCGGAAAGUUGUGUUGCAUGAAGAUUAAUUUGAAUAGGGCACUAUAUAAUCUGAUAAAUGUCAACCAAAAUAAAAAGUUUGACAAAGAAAAUGUCAAAAUUGGCAUGGAAUUGAAUCUAGUAUGUACCUAUGCUGAGUUCAAUAUUAUUAUAGCAUAACUAAAUAUUGACGGAUUCCAACUCAAGUUACCUAUGUUGCUGCUGAUUCAGGAAACGGGCUAGCCAGAAAUUAUACACAAAACAAAAGAGGCAAAUAGGAAAAAUAAACAAAAUUACUAGCCGGGCUUAUUUUAGUUCAGAUCAAUGAGAAUGGUGCUUGUAACUUUUGCUAUAACUAUGAGUCAAAAUUUGAAUCGGUACAGAAAAAUAAAAAAGAAACACAUUUGACAUUUUCAACUUUUACAAACCGCAAAAGGUGAAAAAAAAAUUUUUUGGUCAAGGCAUCUUGACAAAAAUUUUUAAAUAGAGAAGAAUAGGAUAAGCUAUGCUUAUUCUUACGGUCCUUCUUGAGGACUAGAUAACCUAUGACAGUUGGUAUGGGUACUCAAAACCCCAUUAAAUUGAACUGUAUCAACAUCCAUUAUUAGAAAUAUUGGAUCAUCAUGGCCUAUUGAAUGAAUUGAUGAUUUUAUAUUUAUUUGGUAAUCGCAGUUAUUUUAGUCAUUUAGUUCAACAUUUGUGCAUGAUUUAUGUAGUUUAAAAAGGGUGAGGGAACUUUAAAGAGUAAGAUUCGACCUUCUGAUUGAAUGUUCUAAUUCAUUUGUAAUACCUGUUUCUACCCAUACCCAUGCAUGAAAAUAUAUACAUUGCAUUAUCUCCAAUGCUCAAUAAAUUACGUCUAUCUAGCUAGGUGGAUUAAGAGUUUAAGAUGGUUAUGAAACCCGGAAUGCAAGAAAUGUUAUUCUCAAAAAAAAAGGGGAUGCAAUAAACCUGUAUAAGUUGUUACAUAAAAUUGGACAUCAGUUACAAGGGAAGCAUAAGUUAGACACUAGUUAAACCCAAGAAACCCAUGCCAUUUGAGUCCUUAGGGUGAAUUUGCAAACUGCGGCAAGUUCGUCUCCUUUUGAUCACUAGUUAAACCCAAGAAACCCUCUGAACAUGUUUGGGACUUCUUUGCAUUUGGUUACCAAAGGUGUAGCCUUAAUUGUUUUCAACAUUCUGGAAUAGGCCGAGGCAGUAAUUUACGGUUUUUCAAAAAAGCAUGUCCUAUUUUAGAAAUUUUUCUCCUUUUUGUAAAGCACGAAAACUUCGUUCAAGUACUGUAUUUUAUUUUUCAUUUGUUAUUGUCAAAUUACGAUUAAGAUUCCUCAAAUCAAGUGAAUGAAAAUUCUAGAUUGAUUGGAAAUGAUGGUCAUGAUUUUGGAGAUUAUUAACAACAAGGGUAUGUUUCCAUGUGUAAAUUAUAGCACGUAGACUUGUUUUGCUUGCUUGUUUUACAACCUUAUAAAAUAUUAAUUAAUAUUUUAUACACUGACAGUAUAUAUACUUUCAUCAUUAGAUAUAUGACACAUAAUCUAAAUUUGAAUUUAAAACCUAAAUUUUAUAUGAGUUAAUCUUAUAUACACUGAUAGUGUAUAUAAGAUUAUAAAAUCUUAUCAGUGUUGAAUGAAUGACAAUUAUAUAAAAUUUGAAUUUGAAUUUGAAAUUCAACUUUUGUACACAUGUCAUGAAUCAAACGGUGAUAGUGUAUAUACACUUUCAGUAUAGAAAUGAUUAAUCCAUUUUGUAUAUAUGUCGUGCAUCCAACUGUGAUAGUGUAUACAUCGUCAGUAUAUAUAAUAUUUACUCAUAAAAUAUUGUUAAAGUUCUCAAUCCAUGACUAAGAAUUGAGAGAACAUAAAACUGAAUUUCUGUUAACCUCCCCAAAGACUUGUAACUCACACUUCUGCCAUAUAUAGUUUUUGGUUUUCCUUUUUUAUCCCUUGUUUGAAAGAUGUAGUUAGCCGAUCUUUUUGUAUCCUUAUUUUUAUUCAGGGUGCAAUUCACGAAAGAAUCUCCUAAUUCUCAUUCUUGAAAUAAGGGAUUGAAAAGAGAUUUCCUCAACAUUUUCUGCGCAUGAGCAAUGGGUAGAGCAACAUGUUGUUAAAGAAUUUAUGUUUUGGGGGGGGGGGGGAAUGCUCAUUUCUGAAUUUGCAAUUUAUUGUAAUCUAACACUUGUACAAUUUGGUUAGGCAAGAAUUGCUCGGAUGUUAGCCUAAAUUGUCCGAUUAUUAAAAAAUAUGGACAAAAUUAUACUGUUGGCUAAAUUAUCUUAUGUGCAAGCCAAAUUAGCUCAUGUCCAAUAUUUAUAUGCAUUGAUGCAUAAAAUAAAGGUCACAGAUAUAGAAACAACAACAACCAAACACGAGGCAGCUACAAUAACAUGACUAUGGUUCUUUUGAAUGAGAUACUUACCAAUAGUAGGGUUAGGAACAAGGCACAGGUAAAUAUUGACCUUAUCUGCCAUUUCCCCCACUUCAGCUUCUUUGGUUUCACAAGAUGACCUGCCAAAUUUGCCAAGAGGACAACCACAAGACAGCAGAACACAUACAAUCCCCACGGUGUCAAGGGUUCGGAGAAAGAAGCUACAGGAGGAUUUGUAAAAAUCCCAAAUGUCGUCCUCAUGGAUUGGGUUUGAUAGGCCAACCUUUGGUAGACAUAGAGGACAGGAGGCAAAUGACGAUGCCGUGGGAGAUAGAAAUAGGGAGGAUGGAACAAGGUAACGGGCGGGGGCAGAGGCGGACCGGGGACAGGACGACUGAACUACUUACGACCACCAUGGAGGAUUACGGCUUGCGUUGUGAUUUUCUCCUCUAAUUAAGAAUAUGUUUUGAUUUUUAUGUUUUUUUUUUUUUUUUAUUUUCCCUUCAUUUAUAUUUAGCUUUGCCUCCCUGAACUUAGGCCCUUGUAACACUUUACCUUCCAACCUCCAAAUAUAUACAUUUCACCCCUUAUGGUCAACUUUUUGAUUGGGUUGAAAUGAAGUUAUAUUUUUCAUGACCAAAAUAUUCCUGCCUAAUUCUUAAACACACAUAAUAAUUGUAACAAAAUAAAUACCUAUUUCUUUAAUAGUUGUUAAAUGCAUCUAAAUACAAUUACACUAUCCAUUUCAAAUUUUUUAGCAGUAAAAUGAAUUAGAUAAUUCACCAAAAAAAGCCUAAGAAAUUCAAUGUAUUUAUCUCAACACUCAUAGCAAUACUUAUUUUAAAUGAAAUAAAAUUAAUUAGUGCAUUUAGAAUGAAAUAAUUUUGCUUUAUUCUUUUAUUGUAGCAUUUUUUAUUGUGUUUUGUAUGAGAUAAAAAUGAUUAAAAAUAAAAAUUUAUUGAAAAAUGUAUUUAGAAAAUUUUUAGCUUUUUUAAAUAUACUAUUCAAAUAAAAUAAAAAGCAAGAUGUGAUGCAGUAUAAAAUUACCAAAUAGCAUCUUAUUGACUCGUGAAAAUCUUGUGACAGUUGCAAAUUAAAUGAAAAUUAUCAAAAAUAAUCCGUUUACAAUUUAAAGGAAGAAAGAUAAGUGAUGGAAAACUUGUACAGAUGUUUUAGGAAUUUUUAAAUUCUUUUUUUCUCCACAAUACAAUUUUUCAAUUCUUUGGUAUUAUACCAUCUUUUAUUUUUAAUUUUUUAAAUCAUGUAACUUUGUGCUUUGUCUAAUAAGAUGUUUCAUAUUCCGAUUAAAAGUAUAAUAUUAGUAUAUAAUUAUUAUGUAAGGGAAUUAAUGUGAUUUUGUUAAAAUUUUGGAUGGAGAAUUCAUCAUUGACGACUAGCCAAUGAAAAGGAUAAAGUAUGUUUAGGGGGGUAAAGUGUUAUAAAGGGUUGAAUUUAGGGGGGCAAACUGUAAUUAAUCCUUAUAUUUAUUUAUCUAUUAUCUAUUAUUAUAUAAUAUAAUGAUGUUGCUUCCUUUUUAUAAUUUCUAAUUUACCCUUCACCUAAAGUCAUAUCAUCAUAUUUACUUAUAAUCAUUUCAAGUUCUUUGGUUUUGUUAAGUGGCCUCAUCAACAUUUAUGUUUCUGUUAAGCAGUAAUUAAGAUAUAGGAGUUUAGAAUCCAUAAAGAGCUAUUUAGGGUGGUGCUUUCCGAAUUUGUGAGAUUGAUGGCUUCAACGUAUUAUGGAGGAGUUUGGUGUGAAAACGGAAAUUGGAAAUCCCAGCAAGAAUGCUCUCUGGUUGAUAUAUAUAUAGACUUGGUCUCCUCAUUUCUUUACCAUUUUGUGCUUGCUGCUGCAUGAAUUUGACUAUAUAACACUCAUAAAAAGCAGACUUUGAAGUGUUAUCUAAUUACUACAGUAUUCCUUAGUUGCUUUUUUUUUCUUAGCUUCUUGGAACACUAUUGAACAUUUCGUUUUUUGAUGUUUCCGUCGACUCUCAAUAGGAAUGUGAAUUAGUCCUCAAGUGGCCGCCAUAUUCUCUUUAGUUCACAAAAGUACUCAACAAUUGCCCCAGUAAGCUGGCCUGAGUUAAAUUUGAACAUAUAGUCUGAAUCAGUACUUGACUGUAAAAGGGCAAUAAAGAACUCAGUUGCCGGCAAAUAUGAGGAAAAGUUUAUUAUAGUUGAUGGGGCUUCAUUCCUUCUCAAGGAUGAUACGAUUUACAAGAACUGUAGAGAAGAAUAAAGGCUGCAUCUUUAGGUGCAUUCACGAGGAGUGAAAUAGUACAAACAAUGAAUUAAACUUGGAGAGUAGGGGAUUGAAAAGAAGAGUUACUCGUUCAUGCAAGACUCUGAAUGCCAUCGAUCCAAUGUCAUGGCGUAGACAGUCAAGAAUAAAAGAUGAGGAGAAAAUAAUUGAUUAUUCACCAUCAAAGACAAUUUGAUCAGUAAAGUUCUGGGAUGAGGGAUGAUUGCUGAUCACGUGUAGAAACCACUCUUUUGUAGAUUUCCACCACAGCUCGACUGUCAACCAUUUCAUUGGUUGGUCCCGACACCAUUGGAAUUGGUUUGCAUUUUGCAGCUCUUUUGGCUUCAUUGCUAACAUGGUCAAUUCUUUUGGUGCCUGCCAAACGUAUCAUUGCAUCCAUAUAUGCUUCAUGAAGCCUUGCUACCAGCUUCACGGGUGUAAUAAUCUUGAACCUGAAUUUCUCAACUUUCUUGAUCUUCACUUCCUUUUGGCUGUUUCUCUUGCUCCCUAGCCUUGCAAUCUUCAGCUUCCUUUUCAUCUUAAUUGAAUCAUCCAAUCUUUGGUAUCUCCUCCUCCUCCAGCACCUCUUUAAUCCGUCCAAGUAUCCAAAAGGAAGGAUAUCCAUUUUCCUUUUUUUUUCGAAUGUGUGUACUAGAACGUGUUUUUGUGAGCUAGAUAGAAAAGGAAUUCUUGUGUUACAUGAAGAUUAAUUUGAUCAGGGCUAUAUAUAGUUGUGAUAAACCCAAGUUUGACCACCGAAAGAGAUCGUGGAGAAUGACUGGAAGUUAGUGUAUGGUAUGCUAAGUCAAAUAUUUGUAUAUUCGUGCUCUGGACGUACCUAAUUAUUGACUAAUUCCUACUUAUAUUGCCUACAAAUUAAUUAUUGUGCAAAAUUUGAAUUGAUAUCAAUGAGAAUGAUUCACGGUUGCUGAAUCAGCACUAGUCAAAAUUUUGCUACUUUGACAUACCCCAGACUAUACUAUUAAUGUUGAAAGCGAAAGUAUAGAACUGAAAAUGUACAAAGUGGACUAAUUCGUCACUCAAGAUGUAGUCAAGACUUUAAAUCUCCUUAACAUUUUUUAUUGAGUAAAAAGUUCCUUGGGCCUUCCCAUAGAAUAGAUUCCCCCCUCCCUCGCCCCCGUAGGAGUGGGAGUAAGAGUAGGCUAGACAUGUGCCGUAACGACAAAAAAAAAAAACAAAGAACUGAACUUGGAAAUUCUUCUGUACAAGGUAUCCUUAUGAGACCUUCUAAACUAAUUGCACAUGAAAAAUAUUUUAUACCUGAUGCAUAUAGCCAAAAAAAAAAAAAAAAUUUUGAGAGAUACACGAGAAACAAGCUGAGCAGCCUGAUGCUGAAUAUUGUGGGACUUGAUAGCCUACACAAAGAACGAAGCAAAAAUGCCUCGGCAUAUUUCAGAAUCUUUAAGCAAUGAACACUUUUAAGACAAGUAAAUCUUACUGUUCAUGAGUGUAUAUCCAAAGGAGUCCUAAAUAACGCUUUCUUUUUUGGAUUAAUCUUCUAUACAAUGACAGUGUAUAUACUUUUAUCAUUGGAUGCAUGACACAUAAUUCAAAGUUUGCAUAUAUAUUAUGCAUCCAGUCGUAUGAAUAGAUAUACUGUCAGUGUAUAUAAAAUUUACUCGUCUUUUUGCCUUUCCUCUUCUUAGAUAUCUUUUGCUCAAAUGUUUCAUGUUUGACUUCUUUAGGAAGAAUUAUUUAUGAGCCUUUUUUUUUAUUCUACCUCCUACCAAGAUGUUCAUAAAUCAUAAUUGGCUGUAAACAUCAUUCAUUGAACAAAUCAAACUCGAAACUCUCUUUUCCCAACAGGGAUUUCAUCAUAAACCUUAAAUUUGUCAAGUAGACUGAUUUACUGAAGAAAUUCAUGCAACAAAAAUGCCAGUCUCACCCUUGGUGGUGCUUGGCUGUUAUAUUUAUUUUGUUAGGCUACCUGACAAAAUACUACUCUUCUAAUAUAUCCUCGGGCAAUUCGUGCAUCAACCAUAUAUGCCACCCUUACUUUAAUGCUGCUGACCAACUAUUAGGCUACCCGACAAGUGCUUCUGGCCAAAGCACUGUUUUUGUCGAAUAAGUCAUCUUAAAUCUCAAUCUUCUCAUGCUUUAUAGUUAAAAUUGCACUGCAUCAAAUUGUCCCAUGAUUUUUCUUUUCUACAGAUUAUGCGCCUGAUCUGACAAUCUGAGUGAGCCCCAAUGGCAAGAAAUCCUAUGGUAAUUACUGCUUCUAGUCAUGCCUUGAUAUUGACUUGUGCCUUUCUAGUUUGUAGCAUUGGAAAGCUUUGGUGCUUGGUUGUAUACUAAUUUGAAUAGAACAAUCACAAAAAGAGAAAGUGACCCCGUGAUUGUUAGAAUACAUUAUUGUUAGUGAUUGCCCAAUUGUCGCUUUAGUUUCUUUGGCAGAAUAUGAUUUGAUUGUGGAAGAUUUUAUCAGGCUCAAUAUUUAUUAUGUAAAUUUUUCCUUCCAGAAAAUAAAUUUUUUAAAAAAAAGUAAAAUCGCCAUGUGUAUUAAAUUCUAAAUACGAGCCCUAAAGGCCACCUAAAAAUUUUUUGAAAAAAUUAAAGGCAAAUGAUAUUUGCACUCCAAAAUAAUUCUCUCGCAUUCUACUUCCUUUCACGUAAUAACAUGUUAGAGUAGAUUGUUAGGAAGUAUUCUUAAAAUGCAAAUAUCACUUGCCUUAUUGAAAAUGUUGAUUUACACCUAUUAAGCUUCAUAAUUACACUCGGAGGAGUGAACGAAAAGACUUAGAAAGAAUCCGAAAGGGCAAAAGGAAGUCUAAUGCAGUUAAACUAAUAUGAGUUAUUAAAUCAUUGUAUAAAGCGUGGAGAAAAUAAAAAUUAUAAGAAAAAGUUAACUAGGAUAGCUUAUAUAUUAUAUAUAUAAUUACAAUAAUACAGCGCUUGCGGAGUUAACUUGAUGUUAAUUUGAUAUUAACUUUAUUCAUUAAUCCUUAAUUAUCAAGAUAACUACCAAUUGACAUAACUAUCAAAAUAAUUAUCAAUUCAUUGAAAAAAAAUUCAUAAAAAUUAAUUUAUUCUUAAAUCGCACGUACAUGAGUGUACCUUUAACACUAGUAUAUGUAAUUGCACGUUGCUAGCUUGGAACGGUUCACAAAUCGUUAACGGGCUGUUUUCGAGAUGUCCCCUUUUUCUCUUUUUCACUUCCUAUUUUUAUUUCUUUUUUUGGUGCUGGGGGAAUGACUCUUAUGAGUAUUGAAGUUUGAGCUGUGUAUAUGAAAGAGGCUUCUUUCUCCAUUGAAGUACCCAAAUUCAAAGGCAUUGUCCCGAAGAACUCUACGACCAUCUACAUCAUCAAUUGAUGUUGAUAUUCAUCAAAAGCAUCUAUCAUCAAACUAAUUCUAAGCCAAAGCCGAGCAUUGGUAAUAAUCACACAGCAGACAAAGUCAAACAUUGCUAGUGCUCUAACGAAGAAAAUAAGGAACCUGAUUCAUUGUAUCGCUUCCAGACAUAUCUAUCUGUAUGACUGUAUCUGUUGUGACUCUACACUUCUACACUCUUGGCUUUUUUUUAGUCUUUUUUUUUUUUGUUUUCAGGAUCAUUAGCAUCUUACAUCUACCAUCUAACCUAAAUUCAGUAUCUUCUCCCCCGCUCCAAGUCAUCCAGGAUUGAGCUUGUAACCUGGGUAAUGACUUCCGAUGUUUCCACUGCUUGGUCGGGUCGACUGUAUACCGUCCCACUUUCAGCUUGUCGCACGGUAAGACUGUUCAUGGCAUUUGAUUCAGACUGACCACCGUUUCGUGACUCGGACAACAUCUGGAAAUAUGCGUGAGGUCCCCAACCUGUAAAUCCAAUAUGAAACGUCUUUUAUGAACAAAUCUCACAUCAUAAAAGUACUUCGGGACAACUUCCCUGCCUUCAAAUCACAAUAUGCCUGAAUGUGUAUAUCAGGAAUGAUUACUUUUGAAACACCAACAGCUAGAGUAGCAAAAGAAGACCGACGUCUACCAACAAGACGUGAUGUAAACAAAAAAAUGAACUUAAAGCACCAGUCUGUGCAUCAUCUAUGCAACCAAGUGCAACCAAAAUGAAGGUAAUGGGAAAAACUAAUAGAAAGAAAACACAGACAAGAAGAAAGACAAUGACAGUGUGGCAUACAAUAUCACAGGAUUAGGUGAAUAACCAAAUAGAAUUGGCAAUUAAGCGUUUGGACCGCUCAAGAAUUGUCAUGAACAAGCACAGAUGAGACAAGAGCCACAAUCCUGGGGAAUGGAUUAAAACGGGCUGUGGCCUGUCGAAGAAAAUAAUGGCCAAAAAAAAAAAAAAGAAUUUUGUCACAACAUGUAAGAGAUCGGAAGGAUCUGAUAGAUAAAGCCAAGGUAGCAUGUCACCACUCAGGAUCCCAGCGAAGCAGAAGCAUAACCGUUGCUAAAUCCACAAUAACAGCAUACAGGGAAAGGUGGGCCAAAGUGACCGUCAAGGUGAAACAUCAAAAUGGGAGUCGUAACUAACUAAAACUCAAUAUAUCGAUCUAAUAGGCCUCAAAGCAAUCUGCCAUUUUUGACAGAGGGCCUUUCAUUAUAUGCCAAAGGACAUUUGUCCAGCCAGGACCCAGAAAAUGCAUGAGCAGCAAAAAUCCGAGAUAAGCAUUGUUCAUGUCAAUUGUCAAGUCCAUGAAAAUUUUGUAACACAUUUUUACUUGGCCAUUCUUAACUUCCAAUCUGGUGUUAUAUAUUUUGAAAAUCUAGAAAAGAAAAUUGAAAGGUCCAAAUUCAAGUAGAAAAACUACUAGGUGACAAUAUCCAUCUUGAAAAUACAAACUUUACUGUCUGUCUUGUUUCCUUCCUCUAUAUUCCUAAUAAUCGCAAACUGAAUACAACAUAAUUGUUAGUAGGGGUGCAAACGAAUCGAGCCCCUCGCGAGCGGCUCGAUUCAAGCUCGACUCGAGCUCGAUCAAUAUCGAGCUCGAGCUCAAAACGUUAAGUUCGUUAGCUCGCGAGCUCGAGUAUAUAUAUAUUUAUUUUUUUUAUUUUUACGCGAGCUCGAGUAUAUAUAUAUUUAUUUUUUUAUUUUUAUUUUUAAUAGUAAAAUUACAUAAAUAUCCUUAAUAUUUUAUUAUUUAUUAAGAAAAAAUAUUAUUUUAUUUAUUUUUUAUUUUUUUCGAGCUCGAGCUUGAAAAUUACCAGCUCGUCGAGCUCGAGCUCGAGUUCGAGUUCAAUGACAUUAAGUCAAGGCUCGACUCGAUAAGGCCAAAACUCGACUCGGCUCGGCUCGUUUGCAGCCCUAAUUGUUAGCAUCAGAGACAAAUGAUCUCGUGAUAGCAUAGAUUGAGUACAAAUAGGCUGACAAAAAGAUGAAGAGGUUCUUCUCAAUCUAGUAUUUUCUUUUAUUUUCUUAGAUGCAUGUAAGUUACAAUAAGAUUGAAAAUGUUUCAAUAACAACACAUCACAUACAAAGCAUGAGAAAGCACAAAUAUCAAAGUGCCCUUUUUUAUUAAUGAAAGUAAGAAAGGAACAUAGAGGAUACCAUCUAUAUCAUAUGGUGGUGGAAAAAAUUGCAGGUAACAGAAUGAAGCAACUGUAAUUCCUGCACAGAAAAUGACAGACAGAAAAAGAGAUAAACAUACACAGUAGUGAAAAGCACAGUAAAGAACCAUGAAUAUAGAUUGCUUUGAUGUUGACCUAAAAGACCUCCAGCAAAUACAUCCUGCCAAUGGUGCCAAUAAUCAUCAACUCGAGAAACUCCGACUAAUGCUGCAAGAAGUAAUGGCAGGAAAACGAUGCAGAGCUUCGCGAUAUGGCCCUGUCGAUCAAAUGCUCUAAGUUUCCCUGACAAAUACAAUGCCAGGAAACCAAGACCAGCAAAGGACCCUAAAAUGUGAAACCAAAACCACAAAAGGUAGUUAUUUAAAAAACUUCAAUCCGUCACAUGCCACCAAUCAUCCUCCACACUAAUCAUCCUCAAUAAAGAAAAGUGUCAACAUCUAUGUGCCUAAAGUAUCUGCUUUCUAACUGGAAUACAAAAUUAGACCAUCAGAACUACAUAUUAUAUAGAUAAAUGAAAUCCGGUACUUACUGCUUUACUACUUACUGGGACAUUAUACAGGUAUAUAUACCAAAAACACCAGAUAGACUUUCAUGAAUUGCACAUACAGAAACUACAACAUAUUCCAGCCAACUCAUCCUCAGAGAUCCAAUUGAGUCAUAUUAAGAGACACAUAGAACCUCUAAAGAACACUGACGGUAAAUGAAGAUUAAGACAGUAAGCAAAGAGCAAAAAUAAUUAGUGUCCCCUGCUCUAAAAGUUUUGAAAUCUUCCAAUACAAGAAAUGCACAUUAAAAAAAGUACAUUCUUGGUCUUUGUAUGAGCAUUGUCAUGCUAAUUUAUGGAUCAAAUCUUCUGAAAAGAAAUCAGACAUCAUUUGGCUGGGUUUUCCCAAUAUCAACAAUGAAAAGCAAGUCUAAGGGACUUCUUUGCCAUUUCAUGAAAACUGAUGAUCAGCGAUCAUUUUUCAUCUUACGAUCGAUAACUAUUUGAGAGCAUUGCAUUUGUCCCAGUUAAAUAACGUGACUCGUGCAGGUAGUAAAGUCUUCAUUAUGACCAUCAGAUAUGUUACACCAUAAAGAACGUAAAGAAGAAUUAUGCAUUAUGCCUCUUACACUUUUUUAGGCAAAAAAAAAAAUGUAAAGACUUGAGGACUCAUUAAAUGCAGUCAUAAUAAUCCUUUAGAAGUUAACAAAAUCAAAACAAUUGAAAAAUGAAAAUCACAAAAAAGGCCUUAUACUUUAUUUUUAAAACAGCAGUAACACCCAAAAAUUGCUUCAAGAAAUCACCUUUAGGCUACUAAAACAAGCAUGCACUUUUCGGAAUUAUGACAUACAACAGGUUGCCAAACCACAAAAUAUAGAUCAAAAUGAAGAAGUAUCUACAAUCUGAAGGUUGCUCAAAGGGCCAAUGAUUAUUAUGUGAUAAUGCAGUUUGUUUUUAUGUUUUGAACUUGUUAAUCGAAGAAAAAGUAAAUCAUGCGGACAGCCAAUUGUACAUUCAAUGUGAUAACAUAGGUCACUCGAUACAAUUAAGUCAAUGAAACAUUGUUAAAGAGAGUGAACUCUAAAAUCAUUACAGCACCACAAGAGGAAAAACCAUAAGCAUACAUAAACACCAACAUGUUAAAAUUAUCAGAAUCCAAGGACAUGGCAAACCAGAAAUUAAUGAUAAAGAAAACAUCCAUACUACAUGAAAUUUCAGAACGUACAAGAAGUGUGACCACUGGGGAAACUUUUGUGCCCUUCUUUAAUGACACUCUUGAGUCCAGUGCAUCGGACAUCGCCUGUGAUAGGAUGAAACACCUGGAAAUGUGCAUAUUUAGCCAAUUGUAAAAAAUAAGACAUCAAGGUAAAUAAAGACAUUUCAUCAGCACUUACCCCUUUUCCAUCAGGGAAACAUCGCCAAAAGAAAUCAGGACGAGGCCGCCCAACAGCAUCUUUUAUGGCAUCAGUUAUAACUGCUGUGAUCAGAACAGAAAACAAAAGACCUGGAUAUGCAAAAACAGUUAAUCAACAUUAAAUUGGUUAGAGACCUGUUGAUGGAAUAAUUACAAAUGAGAAACAGAAAGGGAAUACUCCAGGGACAAGAAAAUUACCCAAAACACCUUGGUGCAGAUCAUAGACAUUCUUUCUAAUGAAAUAAAAUACAAUGAUCACAAUAAGAGGCAUUAUGAUUGCAAUGAUCUGUUCAACAUGGGAAAAAGGUAUAAUUGAGUAUUAGAAGUGCACCAUAUAAAUGUCAAGUUGAACGAAAACCAUAAAAUCUAUCUGGAUAAAAUAAGCUUUUAUAGGGAUCAUAUUCUAAACAAAGAAACAUACCGGGACAGCCCAGAGAGGGAUAGUAUUAUCUUUCAAUGGGUAUUUCAGAUCCGUCAUCAUAUCGGCACCAACAAAACGGUGGAAUGGCUCUAUCACAUUUAACCCUAUCUCUAUUGCCACCAGCAGCAAAAGAAUUAGCCAAUCACGCAUGUGAAACCUAGCUACUUGAGCUCCAUGGGUUCGAAUUGUUUGAGCACCCAACUGAAUUUCUGGCAUCUUUCACUAAUGAACAGAUAUAAAAUACUUAUUAGUUGCAAUUGAACAAAACGUAACUCUCCAAAAAGUUUGCAAGUGAUAACUAAAAUGUAAAACAUUAUGUAUAAGUUUCAAAUUACUACACCCUUAAUAAUCAACAUGCACUAGGAGUUACAAUCACCACUGGCUAGAAUUUAAGACCUAGAUGGCAGAUUAUCAUCUAAUUAAGAGCUUCAAAUGACUAUACAUCCCCUGUCAGAGUACUCUACGCACAAAAUCAAGAUAACAGUCUCUGCCUAAGCAAGAACCAAGAAUCUCAAGGACUUGUGCAUUUUGAUCAAGUAAACAACGGACAACAAACACAUGGAAAAAGGGUUUUGAUAACAACAUACUAUCCUAGGAUGCCUAUUCCCUAUCUCACCUGAAAAAGCUACUUCCUAGCUUCUAAACCUUAAUACAGCCUCGUAGUUAGACAUAAUGCUUUAAAAAACCACGCCUUUGCAAGCAAACCUUGACACUGCUAGUAAAAUUGCAUGAUAUUACAAACACUAACAUAAGUCAUAGAAUUGGAAGAUAUAAUAUACGAAUCCAAAAAAAAAAAAAAUACUAGUUCUUUACCACUUAAAUUUCAACAAAAGUAAAACUACAAAUAUUUCAUUGCUUACUACAAAUUAUUACAUUUUGCUCAAUCAACUUAUGCACGAUUGUUUCUCAUCAUUUGCUAACUGUUUCUACACAAUGAAACCACAAAAAAUAAGAAAAAAAAAAGAUAUAAAUGAGUGAGAAUUUCAAGUUACUUUCGAUCAUUUGUAUAGAUUUUUAUCACUAACAGGAAAAAAGAAAGUAAAUAAACAGCAUUUUCCUAAUUCCGAAUUUCAAGAGAAAUGUAACAAGCAUGAAUUAUACCAAAUACAUUGCACGGUAUAUAUCUGCAAAAUGCCGAACCUUUUGCUAUUUCUAAUGAUAAUUUCAAACUAAUUAAAACGCAAAAAAAAAAAUGAAGGUACGUAAAUAAUCAGAACUCGAAGUUACCUCAAAAAAUGCGACAAAAUGUCACCGUUUGCUUGUGCUCGAGUCAGAAAGCCAGUGCGUGACUGUGUGUGAUUUUUGAAACGCUUCACUACUGAGUACUGAGUUGAGAGAGAGUGUGAGCUUUCAACUUCUUUUUUUUUUUAACUCUAAUUUUUCCUUGUUUUUGGAUAAGGAGAGGGUAUUAAUUUAGUAAAGUUAAAAACCAAAAAAAAAAAAAAAACAGAAAUAAUCAAUUACUACUACGGAAGCUGCGGCCAGGGGGUUUCUUCAAUUCUUCUCAAGUCAAAAGGCAAAGAAGAAUGUCCAGCUGAUGGUGACAGAAAGCGUAGGGAAUUUUGAUUGUUUUAUACUGGAAGCAAAACAAAAAAGCAUAUGAAUUAUUAUGCUGCUAUGUCCCUUACUUUUUGGAUAAUUACAUCUGUUUCUCAUGUUCGUUUUCGACAUUACACUAACAUCCCUUUGCCUUUUUAUAUUUAUGAAAUUCUCGUUUAUGGUUUUAGAUAAGUCCUAAUAACAACUUUUAACAUAAUUAAUUACUUUUGUGAAAGCACAAUGUUCAAUCACAACAAGUGUUAAUGUUGAUCUUCAAUUUUAUCAAAAAUUCUUGUUUGUUGUUUUAGAUAAGUUUUGAUAACAAUUUUUAACAUGAUUAAUUAUUUUCAUGAAAGCACGUGUUUAUACCGCACGUGACUUAUAAGCUUAAUUGGUAUUUAUUAAUUAAUCGGGCACUGUCAAUUAUCGAUAACUUUUUAUUUCCCUUGGAAAGGCAAAUAGUUAUAGAUUAUGACUACUAAAAAAUUUUCGCACCUUCAAAACCUUGACGAACUAUACCUUUGAAGACAAUUUCCAUGCUUUCAAGCUUUCGGCUGGAACCUGAAAGUACCAAGCGACAGACAAGCCCAACAGCUGUAUUUUACCCAAUUAAUUAAUUUAAUCAAUCCAAAUUCUCUAUCUUUUAAUUACUUUUUUGUUUGGAUUAGUUGAUAGCAGUAUAAGAUAAUAACUUGAAUGUCCUUUCUUGCAUAUGUGAGUUGUUAACCAUGUGGGAAGGCAUAGAACUAGAGGCACAGUUUCAUGAUACUUGGAGUUGGCAUUAAUUACAGGUAAUACCCAUCAGUCCCCACAUGGAACCAGAAUUCGAACAAAUUAUUGUUCAACAAAAGUAACAGGAGUUGAUGAAUGUUUGUCCUGAGACCAAGUAUUGAGUUUUUGCUUACAGUGCAGAGAUGGUAACACAAAUCAAACAAAGAAUAUGAUCAUGUGUACAGAUAAUUUAGCCAAGAAUGCUAAAAACCAUACUGCAUUUCUAGCUUUACAACAGCAGUCAAGAAUUCAGGAUGAACAAGUUCCAACAAGUGCAUGCAGAUAUACAACCUAAACAUUCACAAGAAGUUAAAGCUACAGAAACAUACAUGGAGCUGCAAAGACAGGACUUUUGAGUAAAAGUGUAGCAAGUGAACUAGCUUGCUUGUAUUCAAACUAACUAGAACCCAAAAACUUGGAG
rnacentral:lncRNA from 1 species